UUAGAAAUAUAGAUAAUAAUCAAAAGGUAGUAAAAUUAAAAGUAUUAACAUAGUUUUUUUUACAAAAUAGACUUCUACUUACUUUAUAAGGCCAUAAAUAAGACAAAAAAAGGUAGAUUAAAAAAAAAGGAUAUAAGCAUAUGUACAAGAGAAUUAGGAGUUUAUUUUAGUAAAAAUUACCUCAAAAAACCAAAAAUUGUACCCAAAAAGGAGUAGUUGCCAACAAAGAUUGAAAUCAGAUUGUGAAAUACAAAAUCAUGCACUUAUAGUGGCUUCAAGGUCCUUUGGCAAAUCAAAGAAUUGCAUUUCAAAAAAGACUUUAUAAAGAUUUUAGAAGCUUUGGUUUCAAUUAAUUUGAAUUUGCAAUGGCUUAUAAGAGCUUUUCAAAGUCAAGGUUGUUUUGGUGACAAUAGAUUUUAUGAAAUAAAAUAGUAGUUAUAAUUUAGAGAAUUUUAUAAAUUAUGUAGUAGAUCUAUAAUUAAAUUUUUUUGGUAUUGUGAAUAUAGUUAUACUAAAUAUAUGUUAUGAAUUUGGGUUAAAUUGGAUGGAUAUAGUAGAGAUUAUUGUAGUUUAUAUAGUUAAGGUCUUAGAAAUUGGAAUUUUAGGUCCAAUAAUAUUAUUUAAGUUUUAUAAUUAUUUGUUAAUUUGAUUGAGGUGAUUUUUAUUAGAACUAAUAACUAACUUGACUUCCA
rnacentral:lncRNA from 1 species